rnacentral:tRNA from 1 species
GAUACAGCGCCGGAUGAACGGAUAACUCUGAUGACGUUAAUUAAGGAACCUAGUUCCCUGUAUCUAUU